AGAGUGAACGCUGGCGGUAGGCCUAACACAUGCAAGUCGAACGGCAGCACAGUAGGAGCUUGCUCUUACGGGUGGCGAGUGGCGGACGGGUGAGGAAUACAUCGGAAUCUACCUUUUGGUGGGGGAUAACGUAGGGAAACUUACGCUAAUACCGCAUACGCCCUUCGGGGGAAAGCCGGGGACCAGCAAUGGCCUGGCGCUGAUAGAUGAGCCGAUGUCGGAUUAGCUAGUUGGUGAGGUAAUGGCUCACCAAGGCGACGAUCCGUAGCUGGUCUGAGAGGAUGAUCAGCCCACACUAGGAACUGAGACACGGUCAGACCU
rnacentral:rRNA from 1 species